rnacentral:lncRNA from 1 species
UUUUUUUUAAGAGUGCAUGCUAAGUUAUUUUUUUUAACUCUAUGUAAUUUUUUGGAUCCAUGUGCCUUUAUUCAAAUUUAAUAGAAUCAAAAAUUCAAAACUCAAGUUCAUAUUCAAUAAUAAUAAAUUAAUACUAAUAAGAUAAUGUAAUAUUAAUUACUAAGUUUGACUAUGUGGUAUUAGAAUUCUUUUUUAGUUCUUAACAACAACAAUAAUAAUAAUUUUUUAAGGGUUAAAUUAAUUGUUAACUUAGAAUUACGUAAAGUCAUUUAUCAUAGUUUAUAAUAAUAUUAAUACAUAUUUAUAAAAUCAUAAGAUCAAUUACUUAUUUAAUAAAUUAUAAACAUAAAUCAAUUAUAAUUUUUUUGAAACUAAGAAUUAAAUAAAUUAAAAAAACAUGAGCUAAUAAAAUGUAUUAAAAGAUUCAAUUUCAAGUUAUUUAUAAAAUCAUAAAAUUUUAAAUUUAUUUUUAUUAAAAAAUAAAAAUAUUUAUUGUAUAUUUUUUCACAUAUCGUACUUUAUCUCAUUUUUAAUUGUGUCAUACUUUUAAUAUCCAUAUACUUAAAAUUUUAAGCUCAGCCCAACUCACAUGCGUGCCAUGUUGUGUCGCAUACUCUACCAAAAUAUUCUCAUACUGUAUCGUACUAUACAAACACAUGGCAUACCUCGUGCCGUCCUGUCUAUAGACCACCUCUAACAAGCACACCUACAGCACUAUGGAAAUAAUAAUUAAGGACGUGGGUCUCGAACGGAUUAAUUUAGUAAAAAUGAAUCCAACAAUUGACCUCGGUCUUGAUGCGUCAAUUGCUUAAACACACACACAAACAGAUAUAUAUAUAUAUAUAUAUAGAAAAAGAAAUUAAAAUCUGGUGCUUAUAAACAAUAAUUGAAAAUGAAAAGUGAUUACCAUCAAAGACAAGAUAGGGAGAAAGCGUGGAGUGGGAGGUGGCUGUGGUGGUUUCCAAGUAAAGCAGAUCUUUCGUCUGCCAUGGCAAGAUCUCUGUUCAGAGAAUAAAAAUUAAAGCAGUGAGAGAGUGAGAGACCUCUUCUUCCUCUCGGGAUACCCACAACAUGUCACUUCUUUGCCGUACGGCACAUUAUAAUCUAAAAAAUAUAAUUUUUGAAGAGAAAGAUUACAUCACUAUUCACCAUGGAAAGUCUGUCAGCGCCCAGCCAGCAUGCAUAAUUAUAGGUAAGCCAAGAGCUAGCCAAUAAUAAAAUAUAUUCUACAUUUCUACUGUUUGAAACAGAGCCACUCGACUCAAUCGAGCUAGAUCCUAUAAAUGAUUUUUAAAUUUUCAAUUACAUAUACCAAACUGAUUGGCAGAAUAAAAUCUUGGUUGGCACAAUUUACUAUUUUAUGCUCAAUCGCAGUCCUGGUGAAUGGUGGUGAUGAUAUAUUUUUAGCAGGUUCCAUAAUUAAAAAAAAAAAAAAGUAAAGAAAAGAAAAGAAAGAAAGUCGCCUGUUUAGUUUGAGAGAUAACCUAUUAGAUUAUCUAAAAUAUUAGAGACAACCUAUUAGAUUAUCUACAAUCAAUCAAUCAUAGCUUGGUAAUAUUGUUUAUUAUAUUUUUAACAGGUUUUUUAUUUAAAGAAAGAAAAAAAUUUUGCUUGUGUGCAUGAGAGAGCAGUGUAUCUAAAAUUUUUAUUUGAUACAAUUUUUCAAAUAAAACUAAUUGAACUUAAACUUUUACAAAUAGAAUUUUUUUAAAAAAAUUUAAGCUAUGUUAUUGAAUAAAUGAAAUAAGAUCAUUAAAUAAAUAAAAUGAUGUUUUAGAUAUUUUAAUAUUUAAAAAAAUUCAACCUCUACUUUCAGAAGACUAAAAUUUUAUCUCCUAUUUGUAGAGACAAAAUAACUUAUUUAAUAUUCAAAAACUCUACUGAAAAAUAACCAAAUAACAACAAAAAAACUUUAAAAAAAAUCAUGUGAGAUCAAAUAAUUAUUUAUGAGUGUGUUUGGUUAUAGUAUUAAGGGGGUAUUAAAUUACUAUUUGCAUUAAGUUAAUACUUAUAUCAUGUUUGGAAAAACAUGGCAUGAGAUAAAAGCACUUAGUUGCCGCAUUAGCUUACCUUUUUUUUUUUUUUUUCUCUUUUCCUUCUUUGGCAGCUUGCGUUUUUUUUUUCCCUUCUUCUUUCUUUUCCAUUUACUUUUUGUUUUAACUUUUAUUUUUACUUAUAAUAAUAAAAAAAAUAAAGAUAACUUAAAAAUGUUAUAUAAUAUUAUAUAAUAUUUUUAUUUUUAAUUAUAAUUUAAUAUAAAUUAAUAAAUAUAUAAUUUUUUAUUCAAUAAUAUUAUAUUAUAUUUUUAUUUUUAUAUUAUAAUUUAUUAAUAAAUUUAUAAUAUAAUAUAACUAAUAAUAAAUAUUUAAAUAUUAAUAAUAUUAAUUUAAAAUUAUUAAGAAUAUAAAUAUUAAUUAAUAAAAUAUAAAAUUUAAAUUAAUUACAAAACAAUUAAUACAGUACAGUGUAGUGCCAAACAUUGCACAGUAUUAUUAUAAUACAAUGCUAAUACAAUACAGCAUAAUACAAUACAUCAACAUUAAAAUAAUACAAUACAGCAUAAUACAAUACAGUGUGCCAAACGCACCCUAUAGUCAUUAGAUAAAACGUACUAAACAGACACUAACUAAAGAUUUCAAGAUUGUGUCAUCAUUAAUUUGUGUAUAAUAUACAUUAAAUUCAAAUUCUUUCACAAAAAAUAUAAAUAUAAAUUUGACUAAGGACCAACUUGGUAAUGUUGUAGUAUUUAAAAUAUUUUUUGUUAGUUGUACUAUAUAAACAAUCAACUGUGAAGAGAAUGAGCUAAACUUUUGGUAAUAAUUAUUUUUAAAAGUGUUGUGAGCUUUAAAAGCAAUAGUAUGUGUUUGGUAAAUUUUAUUAUUAAACUGCUGCAAGAAUAAAAAUUACUAAAAUAGAUAUAAUGUUUAAUAAAAUUAUUUUCAAAUUUAUAAACCUGUAUGUAUAAUAUAUAUAUUUUAGUGUGUGUGUGUGUGUGUGUGUGUAUAAUAAUUGAAAACUAAAUAAAUAUUCUCACCUUAUUAAUUUUGCUUUUUUUAAUUUUGUUAUCUCAAUAUAAUUGGUAAUAAUAAUAAUCCCUUUAAAUUUAAUAAUUUUAUUUUCUAAUUAAAUAAGGAUAAUUUUAUAUGUGAAAAUAUAUAUGAAAUUGCAUGUAUAACAUUAAUUCUCAAAUUUAGAUGAGAAGCUACUCCUUCACUACUUUGAAAUCUACUGUAUGAUUAGGUAAUUUUUCUGAAUGUAAAUAUUAAAAAACUUUACCAAACAUUAAAUUAGUUUUCAACAUUUUUAAAUCAUUUUUAAACCUCUUGAAAGCGAUUCCAAAAGGAUCCAAGGAGAUUAAGAUCACUAAUAAUUACAACUCAUAUUUACAAAAGCUAUCCAAAAAAUUAAACUAAGUAAUAAAUUACAUAACUCUUAACCAUACGUUCUAUAAAAUAUGGAUACGUGUAAAAAAAAUUAUAAUAAAUUUAACACAAUUCAGUUCAAACACUGAAUUUAAAUUCUUAUAAUAUCACCACUAAAAAGAGUAAUUCAAGGAGGAAGAAAGAUAGCUUCAAUUAUGGAUUAAGGACUAAUGUACUUCCAAUCCAUUUAAUAGCUUUAUAUUGUUUUCUUAACAUUUGGGUAAUCCAUUCUUAGUUCUUACAUCAUAGAACUUGGUGAAUUUGGUACAUCUAUUGAAGUUCUAUUAUAGUGUAGUGACAUCGUCGACUCGACUUUGCGUGCAAAACGACUCCACCCCUUUAUGUCAUUGUCAAAUACGAUGCUAGCCAGAGCCAAAUGGAUCUUAUGAAGGCUUAUUAGCUUGGAUAGACGGAUACAUGAUUCACAAUUAGUCAAAGCAGGAUUAUUAAUAAAGAAAGCUCUCGUCCAUUCAAAAGUAGGGUUAAAAAAAAAAAAAAAAAAGGAAAAAAAAAUGAUUCCCUUGAUUUGUCUAGCUAGCUGCGAUUGCAACUUCCAUAACAAAAAGUAUUAUGAUAAUUAUGGGACCCUUGAAGUGGGAAACCCAGCCCACAUCUUCGUCUUUUACAAACUUUACUUUUGUUAUGUUGCGAACCCUUUAAAGGAUUUGGUGACAGUUGCAUGGAGGAACAAUCCAGUGUCCAACUUUAACACCGCAUUGAUGUUGACCUGUGGGGUUCCCUUCUUCUUUUCCUUCUUUCGAAAGUAUCAUAGCAUGCACAACUGUACGACCCUACCCCAUAUCAAAACCCCCAUGAGAAUGGGGACUCUACGGCCCCAUUUCACCAUCAUUUGGUCAGCUGGUUUUUCAUUUUUGAACUUGAACUUCUAGCAUGACAAAAUACAAAUCACGAAUGGCUUUGUGGACUAAGCUAAUUAGCUUUUACAUUUCAUCAUCAUUCUUACAAGCAAUAAAGCUUAACUAUUUUCCGUGAAACACUUUCAUUACUGAUUAUCAACAGAUAAAAAGUAAUUAAUAAAGUUAUUUGCAAGUACUAUGAAUAAUGAAGUGGACCUUUCUCUUGAGGAAUUUGCAGUUAAACCCCCAUCCGAUCCCCACGUGCCACUUCCAACUUACUAUAUAUCCACGCCAUAAGCUUUAUCCAGACUGAUUUGUGAGAGACUAUUAUUGAUUACAGAAAAUCCACUCAGCUUGUAACACGGACAAUUCAGCGGAUUAAUUUGGAUUACGUUGAGGUGACAAGGCUUGGCAAGAUUCGCAUCACCUUCGUUCUUUUAAUCAUCUUGAAUUAUGUACUCAAUAGCACUACUGACUCAUAUACGUAGACCAAAAUCCGGGCCUUUUUGACUCACACGUUAAGGAAAAGUGAUCAUUAUAGCAGGAAAUUAAAUUAAUAUGGAAGUGUUAUCUUAUUUGAGAUUAGAGGGAGUAGUAGUUAUCGCUUAAUUACCAGUUCAAUGCGAUGAUUUAUUUUCUCAAGAACGGUUCUUCAUGGUCCCAGCUUUGGAACAACGUAACCCAACAAGUACAAUAUACUAAGGAUCCCUAAGUUACAUGCAUGUACCUUACAACCCUCUCACAUGAAUAGUGAGUGGGAUACUAUUCAUGUGAGAGGGUUGUAAGGUACAUGCAUGUAACUUAGCAUUAGCCAUAUACUAAUAUGGUAUGCGGACGGCACUAGUUUUGGAGUGCAGAAGUAAUGUAUUUGCCAAAUAAUUUGUCCAUAAGAGUGUCAUGAGUGAUUUUUAAGUAGUUUUAUUUAGUUAAUUACUCGAAUUUAAAUGACGGAACAAUAAAAAUUAAUUUAGAUUUUGCUCACCCCUUUUUUUUUUUUUUUAAAAAGAAAAUUGUCAAGUAAUUAUGGUUUGCUAAUAGUGGAUUCACAAUAUAUAAUUUAAAUUGGCAAGUGUGUAUAUACCCAAUACAUUAAAAUGUGUAAUAGAAAACACAUGCAAUAAAUACCAAUCACAACUUUUUAAAAAGUCAAUACAAAAAUCAUAUCACCAGUGAUUUUCACUCCCAAUUAAUAAUAAUUGAUGUUAGUUGCACUGUAAAAAUAAUGAGGUAUGAGAAAAAUCAGUUAAAUAUUUGGUAAAAUUUAUUUUUAAAGUGUUUUAAGUUUUAAAAGCAACCAUAAGUGUUUGGUAAAUUUUACUAUUAAAUCGAUGUAAGAAUAUAAAUAAAUGAAAUUGAUAUAAUAUUGAAUAAAAUUUAUUUACGCCAUUUAUAAUUAUGCAUAUAUAAUAUUUAUUAUUGCGUAUAUAUAGUAAUUAAUAACUAAAAUGAAUAUUUUUUUAUUAAUUUUAUUUUUUAUCUCAAUAUAAUUAGAAAUAAUAGAAAUCUCUUUAAAUUUGAUGAUUUUAUUUUCAAAUUGAAUAAGGAUAAUUUUGGAUUUUUAUAAUAUGUGAGGAUAUAUACGGAAUUUUAUUAAAUACGAAAUUGAUUGUCAUUUGAAAAGUUACUCUUUCUUUGCUUUUGAAAAUCUAUUGCCAAAUAUGGUGAUUUUCGAAAAAGUGAUUUUAAAAAAAUUAUCAAACUCGAAAUUAGAUUUUAAAAAAAAUUAUUAAACUCGAAAUUAACUUUAAAAUUUUCAAAAUUAAUUUUGAACCUCUCAAAAGCAAUCCCAAAUGGACCCCUAAUUUGUUUGGUCUUUUUUUUUUUAAACUUCAAAAUCAAGAUUAAAAUAUCUAUUUAAAAAAUCAAAAUUGUUCCCCAAAAAUAUGUAUCGGAAUGUCUACGGCAUUAAUCGUAAGACCAAGAGAGCUUUUAUAGAUUUUAAAACAAGAAAGAAAAUGAUUGUAUUUAUCAAACAAAAGGGGGGGGGGGGGUGGUUGUUCAUCUUUCCUUAUUCAUACUGUCUAUUAUUUUUACUUUAUAAAAAGUUAAGAAUUACCGCGCAGAUUUUCUUUCGUACUUCCUUUAGUUAAAUGUACGUAAUUAAUGCUCCCACAGUAUACAACAUGAUCAUCGAGUGACUUGUUUUGAAAGUAAAUCAAUCCCUUCUCCAAAUUCAUUACUCAUCAGUGUUUUGUUCUUUUCUUCUUCGUCGUCUUCAUCUUUUUUUUUUUUCCUUUUCCUUUUAAUGGAAAAAAAAAUAAAGUAAAAGUAUGUUCGAAGCAUAAAGGAUCCUACAGCUCAACCGUAAGGUAUCUGUGCAUCUCGAGCUUCCUUACGUUAAAAGACUUAAGUUGAAGUAAUCCCUCUCCAUUUGUCAAGAUUAUGUUGACUCAAGUCCAACAACGAGAAACUUCGCAAAUUCUUGCAAUGGGGUUGCUUGGGACCAAAGGUUUGACGCCAAUACAAAUGUGGACCCAACGCAGGCCAUUCCCAUAAAUAUAUAUAUUUUUUAUUACAUGAGAUUAUUGCUCAGAUUACAAUUCAUAUUACAUGAGACUAUAACUGAUAUUUAUAAAUCAGAUAAUUACUGGACCGACUUACAUCAAUGCUAAUGGAGCUCUGCCCAGAUUUUAACCCUCACAAAUAUUCGAGGGAUGUCUACUCCUCACUCAUGGGUAAGGGAAAAUACUACCUUCACUCAAAUUAAUUGAGAAAGAAAAUACCCCUACAAUACUUUUGUGGAGGUUCGAACUGCUGCCCUCCAACUUAGAGGACAGCAGCCCUGACCACUCGGGUUGAGCCGAGUGGUUAUUCCAUAAAUAUAUUCGUUUGCCUUAGUCGUGUGUUGCUUGAAAAAUGUGAAAAUACGACAUCGAUCACAAUGUACAAUAAUUAAUUCCCAUUUCUUGCCAUAUUUCUCAUAUCUAUAUAUACAUAUAUAUAUUGGGCUCGUUACAAUUGUCCUCUUCCAUAUGGCUUCUCAGAGUAUGAUUGAUUAGGCUACUUAUUUCUAAGCUAGUGUAGUUGGUGGAUUUAAGAACCUUCUGAUUAUGAUCGCUUAAUUUGAUGCUAUUCUUUCCUACUAUGAUUUACAUAAUUAAAAUAUAUAACUAUCGUUUUCAACAUAGCAGUCAAAGCCAAAAUUAGCGUAAUCGAGUGAAAUCCUUUUGUAUAUUAAUUAUGUUCGAUCGUCGUAUCCCAUAAGUCAAGGGAAUUUAGGAUAACUAUAACCAAAAGAUAAUUCGUUUAAUAGCGAGAGAUUUGUUGACAGCCGUGAGUAAAGAUGAUUAAUAAGCUUAAAUAAAUUCCUUUUUUUUUUUUAAAGAAAAGUUCAUUCCUUUUUUUAAUAAAAUUAUAAGAUCAACAAAAUUUUAUUUACUGCUAACGUCUGUAUUUUAUAAUUAUAAUAUGGCUAAAUGCUCCUAUCGAUCGCCGAUUAUAUAUUUCGUACGUGGAAAAUAAAUGAUUGCCAGUAUGUGGAGAUAAUUUGUCAGGCCAAUUGCUGAAUCAUCUAGAUUGAUCAAAUUUGGUGAUGCGAAAUUUCUUGAUCUAAUCUCUAGCUUUUUUGAGCUUAUUUCUCUUUCCCCAGGCCCGCUACAGCAACAAGCUUUGAAAUGCUACAUCUAGCUUACUACUAGGCCUGUGCUUUGUUCUUGCUGGCCAGUGGACUGGAUACCUCAAGCUUCAAAGUUAACAAAGUUUUGCAGUAGACCAUAAUCUUAAAUAAACAUUCUUUUCUUUUUUCCAAUGAAUAAUUUAACCGAUGCCAAUAAUUUGAGCUUAUGGAAUAUUACUAUUAUAAAUUUCUGAUCUCUCACUGACACCAUUCCGUGGAACGAAAUUAAGCUGCAUGACUUUAGAGAUACUACAGCAACCCCUAAUUGCCCCAUUCGAUGGAUAAAGUAUGGAGGUUUACUGCAUAUCUAACCAAGUUCAUAGAAAGAAAAAUUUGGUCUCCCCGGUAGAUGCGGCUCGCACAUGCUGCAAGUAAUUCCUUAAUGAAAGUAUUUUAAUUGGACGUGCAACGAGAAGAGUAAUGAUAUUUGGCCAAAAUAGUACCACGGGGGCAAAAAAAAUAGUGUCAUUGAUUGUUGUUUGCUCAAUGUCACUGUAACAUAGGGGCGCACUCUUGCAUGCACAGUAACGUCAUUUAUGUCAAAUAUCAUUAUUCAAAGAGAAUUUGAUAUUUCAAUUGCUAUUGAUUUCAUUUUGUUAGAUUAGGUGGCUCAACAAAAAGAACACUAGAACUAUACAAUUCACCCAUCAAUUAUAUAAAUUUUCCUCUAGACCUUUUACUACUGAACGCAUUUCUUGUGUUUGCUCAUUUUGAGGUACAUUCAAUUCUUAUUGGAUGAUACCAAUAAGUCGUGUUCAGAAAGUUUUGAGAGUUAUAAAGGAAACUUCGAAUUCAUAUUAGCCCAUGAGCUGAGAAUGGGAAUUAAACUCUAUGAGAUAUAUUGUUCUGCUAUUCCUUAGCUUCACAUUAAUAACAAUAGAUCUUUUAUAUGUAAGACCAAAAAAGAUACUAUAUUGUCACGCAAAUUUUAGCCUCUUCCACAACAAAAGGACUAUUAUUAGCACAAUGAAUAAUUGAAAAAAAAUGUAUUACUUAUGACAUUAGAAAUUGAAUUCCUUGUAUAAUGCAUUACAUAUUAGAAUAAGAAUGAGCAACCACAUGUCCCUAAUGUAUUUGAUCGAAUGAUUUUCAAGUAAUUUUAUUUAAUUAAUCACUCGAGUUCGAAUUUCAAGGGAGAUGUAAGUAAAAAAUUGAUUUGACCUUUGUCUCCCCCCCCCCCCCCCCCCCCCCAAAACUCUCUCUAUCUAUCUACACACACCCAUUGUUCAAAGGUGUACUUUUAAAGAAGUAAAAAAAAUAAAUGAAUAAGCAUUGGGCGAGAAUUUCGACUUUCUUGCCUAUAUACGUCCGCCGACAUAUAUGUUUACCAUCGAUCUUUAAUUCAAACCAUUAAUUCUAAUUAAAAAAAUAUACAUGUAGAUUCUAUUUUGUAUUGUGGUUGGGUAAUUGUAUUUUUAAAACUUUACAUUUAAAGAUAAAUUGAUUUAACCCACAUUUUUUUCCACAGCAACUAUGAUUUUUAAGUUGUAAUAUCUCAACAUCAAAUAAAACCUCAGUCUAAUAGUUACAAUCAAACUCAGAAUGCAGAUGAGAUAAAACUCUAGUACUUAGGGAAGAAAAUUAUUGAUCAUAGCUUUCUCUUUGUCUUUUUCUUUUUUCUUUUUUUAUUAGUCGAUCAUAGCUUAUAACUGGGAAGGAUUCCAGAAAAUUUAUAUCACAUUACCACAAUAUAAUUUCAUAUACAUAUACUAGCUAAUAUCACGUUUCAAACAAUUUUAUAUACAACCGUCUCGAAUUAUAUUGCCUAGAAACUAACAUGCGAAUCCCCAAUUUUACAAUUUUAUUACAAUUUUAUAUACAACCAUCUGAACUUUCAUUGGGUUUAGAGUUUUCAACUUAAAAGAAUUCAAGCCCAAAAUUCUAAAUGAAACCAGUUAUUGGACAACAUAUAUAUGUAGAGCUCAAAUAUCUAUGUCUCGCAAUUUUUUCUAUCUGAAAUCUCAUUACAUACAUUCAUUGUUUUUUUUUUUUGGUAGUCCAGGUCCCAUACUAAUCCUUUUCUUUCCAAUUGAACAACUGAUGACCAAAAAAAGGGGAAAAAAAAAAAGGCAGCGCUAGCAAAGACCAAGGGUAGUGUUCUAUGCUCUAGCCGCUAGCUAAUGCUAUAUAUCAUGAUCGCCUAUUUUCAAAGCUAGGUGAUAGACAAUGGUCAAGAAGAUCAUUGGCAGAUGUUGAGGAUCAACUUACCAAAUUUAACUCCGUGAUUCUCUCUCUCUAAUCAUAUAUUCAACUCUCCUUGUAUAGCAAUUGAAUUCCAUUCAUAUUCUUGAUUUCUUCCCUAGGGGUCUUAUAAGACUUAUAUCAACUAGUUUUGUUCCAAAGGUGCAGAAUCAAGCUAUCUUUUGAAGAUUCAUGUAGCGGAGAGAGUAAAUUGUUACCGUAACAAAUGCCUAAAUCUAUGUCUAUUGUUCUUGAUAAGUACACUCAAAAUUUUUAAAUCUCUUUUCUUUCUCUAGAAGAUAGCGAACUCCAGUGUAAAGCUUUUUUUUCUCAAAACAGCCAGCACGACAAAUUCCAAGUCAUGGAUCAAAAAAAUCCAUCUUCCUAUCAGAAUUUGCAGGGGGUUUAAAAUCUUAACUUGCUAAACGUGUUUGUAUGUCUCUUCAAUUCCUAUAAGAAGAUGUACUAGGAAAUGAACAUCUUUAAUUAGUAGUACAGCCAGCAUACUAAAGUCCAAAUUAUGACACAUUCUAGCUUUAGUUCUUGGCUAUAUUACAUAUCAUGAUUUACAUAAACAAAUCUUUAACUAGGAAAUAAUUUGCAGGCCUAUAUGUGCCUGUUAUUUUUGGCAUGUGUGAAUGUUUUUGAAGCAAAUAAGAUGUAAUCAAAAUGUCGAACUUCUCGUAAAAGCCCAUCUUUAAAUAUAUUACCAACAACACUAAGAACAAUAAAGUCAACACACAAAAUAUCCAAUUAAACGCCCACAUUGCAAUAACAAAUCCCCCUCUCUGCUAUACCAUAAUAUACCCUCGCCCCUUUUUUCCUAACCCCCCACCUCCCCAAAAAAAAAGAAAAAUGGAAAAAAAGAUUAGUAUCUGAAUUAUUAUCAUGUGAUCCUCGUCAAGGACUGCAACAUAUACCCAAACAAGUAAACUCCCCAAUCCCCCCCAACCUAAACAACAAAUACAUCAAAAAGAAACGACAUGUCAUACGUAUAUACAUUCACAAAAGUAAUUAAUCAAAGACAAACUUACUGAACUAGCUUGAAGGUUGCAGCACAGAGCGCCUAGCUAGCCUUCCUUCAAUCUUCAACACCGUAGACGAUCCAUGAUGCCUUGUGGAGAUGAGAUGAAGAGGAUCCGAGGUUCCUCUCAGCGCAAAUACUGAUUAUCAACCUUGUUAAUAAAACUAUUUGGCUGAAGUAAUUCUUAAUUUGCAGCUGACAUGAUCGCUCCGAUCCAAUAACUCCUCCCAUCUAUGCUUCACUUUUACAAUACCAUAUAUUUUUUUUUCUUUUUCAAUAAUCUAGUCCAAACAGAAGAAGUACUGACCAACAGAAUUUACCUAAUCAAUUAAGAUGCUAAGGAUACCAAGAUGACUAAUAAAGAGGGAGACAAAUAGAAAUUAAGGAAAUGAUGAUGAUUUUAGAUUAAAGAAGUGACAGAGGACCCAAUAUUUGAGGGAUCAUGCCAAGCACCGACAGAACUAGUUGAGUUCCAAUAUAAAGAAGGAUCAGCUAACCCUAUUUGCUCCAUCUGAUUCUGGCAUUCCACAUUCCAAUCCAUUCUUCUUUGACCCUCUUCCGCUUUCACUUCUUUCAUCAUCCCUGUCCUUGCUGCUUCACCAUUAUUAUUAUUAUUAUUAGCUGUCAUUUGCAGGUCUUCAAAGGAUGCUAAGUUGUUGUUGAAAUGGUUAGGAGCUUCAGUGGAGCUUUUUACAACACCAUUCAUGAACUUUGGCUGGUGAAGACUAGAAGCAAGCAAAGAAGCUAUAGUUGGAGAAGAUGAUGAGGAACCAAAUGUAGGGUAACUUGAAAGAAGAGAAUUUGAUGAGGUUACUACUUCUUGGAUUUGCUUAUUUGGGUUAAAACCAUUUCGGUAGUUACAAUCACCAACAUCAGUAUUAGACAUGAUUAGUCCUGAGGAAAACCCUAAACCAAGAGCAUUCAACUGAGGCUGCAGAUCAUAGCCAGAUAUAGUGUCUAAACUUGAAACAACUCUUGAAUUAAACGUAGAGAAUGGAAGGUUCAUAUCAGAUGGGUUUGUGGAUAGGCCAAAGAACAAAGGAUUGAUAUGAUUUGAGGUUGAAGAAAUAUCAAUCUGGCGUUGUGAAUGAGGGUUAUUAGGGUUUGCAGCAGCACUAGGAUUUGAUCCAUCAAUGGAAUUAUUGGCCGACGCGGGCCUCUUCACACGCUUGUUUUUCCUGCAUCCACCACCCACAGGAACAUUCCUCAGGGUACCGCCUCUUGUCCAGUAACGCUUACAGGCCUUGCAAAAAUGCCUGGGCUGAGAGAGGCUGUAGUUGUUGUAGUAACAGAACUUGGUGUUUGAUGAAUCACAGCGAGGGCACUUUAAAGGCGGUUGCUGCUGCUGUUGUGGUGGUUCUUGGCCUGCUUUAUCCAUGACCCUACCUGUUGAAGCCAUCAAGUUUUUCUCAUCUAUCUGAUGAUUCUGUAACAAAGAAGAAGAGGGGGAGAAAAAAAGGGAAGAAAAGAAAGAGAGAAAAAAAAAAGUCUAUGAGUUGUAGUAUUAGGGUAAAAAUAACAACACAACGUAAGAUAUUCUCAUCCAAAAGCUAAGAAACAAAAAUGGGGUCAUGUUUUGUCUAAUAAUUGAGAAAGAGAAGGAGAGAGAAAAGAAAUUAAAGAACCUGUGGCCAUUCGUUGGUAGUUGAAGAGAUGACAACCAUCUUCUCACAGUUACUCAACAUUUCUUCUCACAAAGGAAUCGUUGAAACAAAGAGUAAACAGACAAAGAGCAGGUGGCGACGUGAGUCUUUCUUUAUGGGGUUGAAAUAUUAUGACAGUGAGAGAGAGAGAAGAGAGUGAUUAGCAGCAUAACAAGGAAAAAAAUAUUAAAAUGAAAAAUUAUGGGAUUGUUUAUGUAAUUUCACGUGAUGGGGCCUGGCCAUGGUCUUGGUCUAAAUUCUAAAAUCGAAUUUGAGUAGGUAAUUGUUUAAUAGGGAAUAUAAAAACGAAAAGAAUAUAAAGGACAUACAUUCAAAAUCCAAGAAGAGGACAGAGAGGUAAAGCAGCAGCAUCAUAACAGAUGAAUCUCGAGAGGUUCAAGAAAAGAUAGAACAUAACAUGAGACUACACACUCUGCAGCACUACGUAACAUUCCUUUGUGUGUGUAUUUGAUAGAGGGAAUCCCUAGAGCUCAAUCAUCGAUGCCUCACCAGCAAAUCCCACUUUGCACUUUAUUUUAUUGUUAAUUCUAACUCGCCUAUCUUAUACAUUACCCACCACAAAAAUAUUGUUGUAUGGUGCUCCUCAUCAACAACCGUCAACAUUCAACAACGACAAAAUCUAUAUUUAAAAAAAAAAAAAACAGCAAAAUCCAACUUGAUCUUAUCUUUCAAUAUGCAUUUUAAUUGAUCCAGUCUCCUUCUGAUUUGCCCACUCUAAUCACUGGCUAAAUGGUAACAAAAGGAAUUUUUAUGUUCGAGUUUUUUCUAUUUGAUAUAUAUUUGUUUGUUAAUAUUAGAUAGAAUCGGUGGACACAAGUUUUCAUAUUCAAUAGACCUCAUAUAAAAUAUUAUAAUUGUAAGAAUUUAAACUAACAAUAGACUGUAUUAAUUAUUAAAAAAAUCUUGUUUAAUGUAACCUUAUUAUGUAUUACAUUCAUUGUUCUCAUUGAAGACAAUAAAUAUUGUGGUUUUAGCUCUUAUCUAUUGAUCAAUAAAAUAUUUUUUUCUCCACAGACCAUAGUAGAUGUUCAAACGUGUAAUUAAGAGAUAAUGCAGAUUCUCAUCCAAAAAAAAAAACAGAGAGAGAGAGAGAGAUAACACAGAUUAAUUUCAUCAUCAUAGUAUUACACAACUCUAAUUAAUCCACUUGAUCAACAUAAGGCUAUAUGAUUCAUCAAAGGGGUUGUUUUGACUUGUGAGGACUGAGGAACUGAAACCUGAGGACAUAUUUACUUUUGGUGAAGUUUAACAGUUAUACUACUGAGAAAUUGAAAAUUCCAAGAGCGAAAGGACAAGAGGGCUCCAUGUGGAAGUCUAGUUCACAUCGAUCUCGCACUCAAAACACAGCAAGCAACGACCACGCUAGCUUUAUUCGCCAGUACACUCUCUAGCUCGCAGUGGCAUGGAAACCAUGAGGCUGCAGGCUCUCAGCUCGCAGACCCAUGUGGUGGGCAGCUCAGCUCAUCAGCUCAUAGUGAAAAGAGUCCAACCAUUAAAAAAAUUAAAGGAAAAAAAAAAAAAGAAGCAAAAUUAAAGCACAAUUUGGGGAACAAACGGAUUUUGUAGUCUUUCAAGGGAUCUUCUCCUCUCCCUAACAUCCCAUCAUUAUUCCUGCGCAGUCUCUCCACUCCUUUAUUAAAACUUUGAUCUUUCCUUUUAGCUUAUAAUAAAAAUAGUUAUAUAUAUUGUCACGUUACCAUUCAGAAUGCCACACUAAAGUGCUUGCUGUCUGUAUAGGGGUUUGAAUGCAGUAGAUGUACGUUAGCAUGUUGGAGAGCUGAUAAAAUUUAGAUUUCUGAUCCAAUAAUUAAUUAAUUUAAAUUAUUUAUCACCCUUCUAAUUAAUAAAAUUAGGGCAUUUUUUGCUUUUGCAUGUUGGAAAUUAGCAAUUAUCAAUGUGAGUGUGUGCAGCAAUGUUAGGGCAUUAAGCAUUAGACAAGGUGUGACACGUGUCAAAUUUAACCCACCCAAAUGUUAUCCAAAACAGAACAUAAUCCUAAUAUUUUCUGUUAACAAAAUCUUGUGUGGAUUUGAAAUGUAAUAAUAUGCAAAUUGUCUUGACAUUGGGAAGGUAGGUAGUGGCUGUCUAUUUUAGGUUUAGCCGAUAGUAGAGUGCGUAGACAAUUGAGUCAUAUGUGUGGAACGUGGAAAAAUAAUUGAGACACACACAUACAUACACAAAGACAGUGGCUUUGCUGUGUGUGAAAUUGGGAUUAGUCAACUUUAUUAGAGGUGGUGGAGGAAGAAGAAAGACAAUUAUAUCUACAUAUAUAAACGGGUCCUACGCUCCCAACAUGUACACUCGAUCAUUCAUUCACCACUCCACGAAAAACUGACAAGAGAUUCCAAAAUGGCAAACAUGAAAGAAACCCAACACGCACGAUAAAGGGAAAUGAAAUGAAUUGAAGCAAUGAAGUGUGUUGUGUUGAUUUUGAAUUGAAGAGACGAGAUGAGAAAUAAAAAUAAAGAGAUCAGUUGGGGUCUCAUAUCAUCAGUCCUAAUGGGGACCAAAGCAUCAAAUCCAAGCCAACUGUCCAUGCCCACUAAAACUAAAGCCUGAUCUGAAUUCUGAUCUAUCACAUUGCCCCCCAAACAAUGAGCAGACAAACACAUCUCUCACUUUCUCCCAAUUGGUUUUGCUUUACUCUCUCUCUCUCUCUCUCUCUCUCUAUAUAUAUAUAUGUAUGUAUGUAUGUAUGUAUGUAUGUAGUGUUUCCUUAAUUUCCUUAUUUAACACUUCAUGAGCUACUUAUUUGAGCACCCCUUUUGUUCGUUGGGAAAUGACAUUUCUACCGACACAAUAAUGAUAAUUACCCUCACCAAAAUAAGGGCAAGCUAGAGAAUUUCUGCUCAAGAGAUCGAUCCAUUAGUUGAUUUGGAGAUGUAUCUUUCAUGUACUACUCCUGUGUACUUCCAUGUAAUUAAUGUUUGUUAUAAAUACUAAUGACUGUUGGCCAACUGGUCAAAUUCUGUAAUAGAACUUGAGGACUACAUGUUGUGUAGGAGUAAUAAAGAAGAAAUAAUUAAAAGUGCCCUAAUCGCGCCCUAACAAUGACAACCAUAAGCUAAUAAAAGUGCGAUUAUGUGGGAGUUUUCUUGUCUUCUUGUAUAACAAUAAGAUUUGAACAUAAUGCAGAUAAUUAUUCACAUAUAUGUUGGAAGAAUUUUGUCAAAACAAAACAAAACUAUUUUCUAACCGAUAAUAAGUUAAUAACCAUCAAUUCGGAAACCACUUUUAUUGCAGCAGGGUUAUUGACGUUUAUUAAUAAAAUAAAAUUGCUUGAAUAUUUUAGUCCAAAUUGAUAAGUGGUGGUUGUUGUUGAACAGUUGGCAUCAUCAUCAUCAACAUCAUAUAAAGUUGAUAAAUUAGUGAAUUGAUUCUCGGUUUAUCAUUCAAGAUCACAAAAAUGAUAAACUUGUUUAUAUAUAAAAAUACAGGCCGCAUAAUCAAUUAGUGGGGGAGAAUCAGUUGAUUCAUUGAAGAGAGUCAAACAUAGGACUUGAACUAUGGGUAGCAGGUACAAGCAUGGAAAAUUCCUGUGAAUUUACAAUUCCUUUAAUUAGAUACGUUUACAUUACAAACAAGCUUAAUUCGGACUGUUUCUUAUGGAAGUUUCAAAGUGCCGCCGGUACUGUGGGGUCCGGAGAAUGUUGUGGGGGGGACAAUUUUACUAUUCUUUAUUGAUUUGUCUUAACAAAUUUAUCUUUCCCCAGAAAAUAAAUAAAUAAAUAAGAGGGAGACAGAGAGAGAGAGAGAGAGAACCCAAUCAGAUCUUGGUAGAUUUGAAUUCUGUGACCUAAAAUUUUGUAGGAUAUGAUGUUGAGACUCUCCCACAGUGUCUAAUUGAUAAAAUUUUUUAUGCAAUAAUUUUAUUAUAAUUAAUACAUAAAGUAAUGGCAGUGACUACUGACUACUAGUGGGAAUAUGUAUAAACUAAUGGUGAAUAUUCAUUGCCUUUCCCUCCUGAUUAACUCUAAGAUGUGAAUUAAAAAUUCUAAAACGUCACAGUCAUCAUAAUUAUGUUAAUCUUUUGUGUUGAUUUGCUUACGUUAUCCAAAAAUUUCUUCGUUUGUAACCUUGUUGUUUUCCAUUGUCCAAAUUGUGGUUCAAUUGCAUGAUGACCAAAGUAUCAUUUUCAGUGGACUAAAUUCUAUUUGUAUGAGUGUGUGUGUGUAUAAAGCUUUGUCCAUUCCAUAGGUUCUGAUCAUUACCUUAAUUUUUUUUUUAAUACAAGCAGUCAAGCAAAAUCCCUUUUUUUGGAUCAUAAAUUGAGCCUCCGUCAAUCAUUCUAUCUCGCAAAUUCCAUUAUCGAGAUAUACUCCAAAAAGCAAAAACGUUCCUCGCUUUUGUGUAAAACACAGUGGGUUCGAUUCGAUGCUCCGUUAGGCCCAGUACUAUAUCAAUCUGGGAUUAAGAUUUUGGACCUUCCCCAGCCCAAGGAUUGGACCCCAACUGCCCUCACGCCCUGCUAUGCACCAUCCUGAGAAACUAUAAUUAUUGGUGCCCAAUAGCCAUUGUCGAAGAAGGUGCGGUGUGCAUACUGCAUGUCAAGUUUCUUUCACGGUGUUAUUAUUAUUAUUAUAAUUGUUGUUUAUUUUAAAUCUUGUCUUCUUUUAGCUUCAAUCAAACUCAAAGAUUUGGGCAAACAGUUCAUCACAAAAUAUCAGCAGCUACCACUAAAUCAGACGAAUAAUAUACAGAACAAAUCCUCACUUGGAAUGAAAAUAUCAAAGGAGGAAUCAUACAACUCAUCUAAUUAAAACGCAUUCGGUCCUGUAAGUACAUGAACUGACAUGUGCAGCUCAGAUGCUGCAUCACCAUGGUUAAUGGUUAUUGAAUUCAAUUCAAUUCAAUUUUCCCUCGUACAUCUGGGGACCAACUUUGGCUUAGCGCAUAUAUAUAUAUAUAUACAUACACACAGACACUUGCUAAAUGUGCUCAAAUAUUAAUUGCAUGUGGUCCUUUUUGUUAAUGGAAGAUGGAACGAGUAGUAAUGGGCUACGUCAAGCAUAUUAUAGGUUCCCCUCUUAGCUGUAAAACUGUUGGGCGCACCAAAAUGACUUGCGAAAAAUACACAGAGAAUUGAAAACGAAGCAGAGAGAAUAAGAUGCAAAGAAGAUCAUCAAAUUCUCGCGAGUACAUACGUGUUAUAAAGUGAUACGUUGGUUUGUCUCAGACAUAGAUGAUGGAACAAUAAAAGUUUUCCCCAUUCACCUUCCCAAUAAUACACCUAACAUCACAAGAAUUCGGCCCCCUGUUUCGUGAAAACGACUGUCAUUAAUAAUAAAGAGAGAGAGAGAUUUCAACAUGCAUGCAUCCGUGUAAAUUGUAAAUUUUCUCUAUCUCUAUCUUUUCAGAAAGGGAAAAAAAAUGAAAAAAAUUAUAAACACGUUAUAAUGUUUAAUAUAGACGAUCAUAUACGGGUCGGGCUACAGUGUAAUUGUGGUACCGUACCACAGUUGCACCAGGUAUUAGAUCCACUCAAAUGAGUGGGGUCCACUUAAAUGGGUGAAAAUUCAACGGUUUGGUACAACUAUGGCACGGUACUACAAUUGCACCACAAUUUUAUCCAUAAUAUACAUAUAUAUUGAUCUGGUUCAGAAUCUUUAACUUUAUUUUAUAUAUAGCCACUCGGCCUUUGGCCGAGUGGUGAGAGCUACUGCUCAAAUGCAUGUGGGGGUGUUUCCUUCCUCAAAUAAAAUUGAGUGAAGGCAGUCUGCUUCCUUGCCCCAGUGCAAAGAGUAGACAUCCCUCGAAUAUUUGAGAUGGUUAAAAUUUGGGCAGCGCUCCAUUAGAUUUGAUGUAUGUUGGUCCCAGUUAUAGUCUGAUUUGUACAUAUCAGUUAUAUUCUCGUGUAAUAUGAGUUGUAAUUUGAGCAAUAGUCUCAUGUAAUAAAAAAAAAAAAAAUUAUUUUAUAUAUAUGAGAGAGAGAGAUUUCCACAUGCAUGCAUCCGUGUAAAUUGUAAAUUUUCUCUAUCUCUAUCUGUUCAGAAAGGGAAAAAAAAUGAAAAAAAUUAUAAACACGUUAUAAUGUUUAAUAUAGACGAUCAUAUACAUAUAUAUUGAUUUGGUUCAGAAUCUUUAACUUUAUUAUAUAUAUAUAAAUAUAAAUAAUAUAGGUUAUUGUGGCCUUCAAUUCUCAAAUUGAAAGAAAUUAAUAUUUCGAUGCUUGGAUUGUCUCGAAUAGGAAUAGCUACCUAGUUACCCUAAAAAAUUGACCAUGUAACAGUCAAUUAUAUUGAUGCAAAAUGAAGAGAAAAUAAGUACCCCUUGAAUUGUACAUUAUAUCUCUAUAAUUGUGAGGUCGAAAUUGACGCGGAGAGGAAUCACAUAAAUGAAAUUUCCUUUAAUUCGAGAAAUUAACCAAUCAAGAUGUAAGAGUCAUUGGAGCUAAUUCUUAAUCUUGAUUGAUAUAAUAAUUGAAUUAAGAUACUAAGAAUUAAGCGAUUAACGGUUGAUGAUAGGGAAAUAAUAUUCAAGAAAUUAGGAAAAUGGAAGUUGUGGUCCAUCACCAUCACAUAUAUUCUUCACAUCAUCAACUUUUCAAGGGAUUUUAUUUCUUCAUCUCCUCUUCAAUUCUUGUGAUCAGCGCUAGCUCCAUCUCUGUUUCUUUGGUUACUUGUUUUCUCUUUAUAAACAGAAAAAAAAUGGAAGCAAGCAGAGCUGAAGGAAAGAGGAGCUUGAAGGAGGAUGAUCAAGAAGAAGAGGAAGAUGAUGAAGAUAGUGGUGGUGGUAUUGCUGGAGAGGAAGACAAGAUCAAGAAGAAAGGCAAGAGAGGAUCAAGCAGCGCCGGAGCUGGGGGUCCAACGACAUUUGUAUCUUGUCAGGUGGAGAAUUGUAGGGCUGAUAUGACGGAUGCCAAGAAAUACCAUAGGCGACAUAAGGUCUGUGACUUCCACGCCAAGGCUCCUGUUGUUCGUGUCGAGGGUCUUGCACAACGCUUUUGCCAGCAAUGUAGCAGGUCAGCUUACCCUAUCCCUAAUUCCUCCUCUAUAUUCAUAUUCAUAUAUUUUUUCAUCCGCGAUGUAUAGACCUUUCAUUUAGUAAUACACAGCACUAGUUAUAGAUUCUUUUAUAUUUAUUAUAUAUGUUCAUGUUAUGGCUCAAUUAGAUGCUAGCCUGCUAGGGACUCCGGCGUGCAUCAUAUAUAUCAACACACACACACACACACACACAAAAUAUAUAUAUAUCGAUGAGCAUGACAAGUCAAAACUUGAUGUGAUUUGGAAGCCAUAGAUAUAUUUUAAAUCAAUGCGAACAAAGAUAGGCAUCGAAAUGUGGAAGUGGAAACAAGAGUCCAUUUUCAUUUAUGGAUGUAUUUUAAGGUCGCUAUCAGCUGUUAUAAAAGGCAAAAGUAUUAAGGUUUGUUGACAACAUUCAUAUUACCAUAAUUGAAGAAACCCAUUUUCAAGUGAUGACUCCUUGUCGUGCUGGGCUUAUUUGUCCCUUUCCCGUGCCCUUCUACAUAAUUUAUAGGUUCCAUGAACUGUCGGAGUUCGAUGACACCAAAAGGAGUUGCCGUAGACGUUUGGCCGGGCACAACGAGCGCCGCCGGAAAAGCUCAGCUGACUAUCAUGGAGAAGGCUCAAACUGAGAGUACGUAAUAUUAAGGAUUAAUUAUGGAGGCAGGCGAAUAAAAAGAAAGAAGAAUCGUUUUUACCAAAUAACUUUCUCAUUAUAUGUAUGCCCCUUGCGUCGGCAAUUACCUAGCGUGCUCUCUCUCUUCUGUCAAUGCUCGAUCGACUGUAAUGUUAAGCGCCUGAUGGUGCUCCAAAUAAUCUCAAAUAAUUAAGAAUUAUUAUCUUAAUUAAUACUUAACAGCAGUAUGCUUAUGCAUUUAUUUUGCUUUGUUGUUACUGUUAGGACUGCGUAUAUUAGUACAAUUUAGAGUGAUAUUAUUAUAUAUCAUCCUUUUUUUUUUCUUCUCCUAAUCUUAUACAAUUAGAAAUAACAGAAGAAUGCAAAGAGUUCCAAAAGGACUCGAACCAUGUCUUUAAUGUGAAGUCAUAUGGGUUCACCACUCUGCUAGCCGAAUGGCUCUACCAGCUUCUUUCUUGGUUCAAAUUUCAUUUACAUGCAUUAAUUCAAUUCAGAAUUUUAUUUUGACAAUUAAAAUAAAUAUUUUUUUAUUUUAUUAGUUUUAUUUUUUUUAUCUCAAAAUUAUUGGCAAUAAUUUUAAUAUCUUUAAAUUUCUUAUCUUAUUUGUUAAUUGAAUAAGGAUAAUAUUAGAUUUUCACAAUGUAUAUAAGGAUAUAUAUGAAAUUAUAGUAAAUGUAAAACUAAUUCUUAAAAUUAAAUUUAAAAGGCUAAAAUUUAUUUAUAGGAUAAAGUGAGUUUUCAAAAAAAUUUAUCAAGUACCAAAAUUAACUUUUAAUUUUUUAAAUGCAAUCUGGAAUGAACCCUUAAUAAUUAAUUAAGUUACUAUAAUUAUAUUAUUUCACAAACGUUUAUGUUAUUAAGCCCCCCCCCCCCCCCCCAAAAAAAAAAGAGAGAAUGCUUAAUUGAAUUUUUUUUUAUCGCUAAAUGCUUAAGUUUCUUGCUGCGGUUGUUGAUAGCAAGGUUAUGACUUACAAUUAAACAGAAAAAUAAUUUCCUAUGACUCAUUAGUUGUUUGACAAGCAACAACUGAGUCAUAUAAAAAGAUUAAUUUGGAGUUCAAUUAUGUUGAGCAAUUUGUUGGUGAUUAUACCAGGUUUUGUCUGUCUGUUUUUAUAAAGGGAUAAAAAAAAAAAAGUGCGGUGCAGCUCAACUCGGCCGGCCAUUGAUAGGUGUAGCCUUGAAAGCAAAGGGACACUCAAAGUGAAAAUUUCUUAAGAUGAUGAUUACUGAACUGUACAAAUCCAGAUCAAUUGAUCAAAUAUAUAUGUAGGAAAGCUUGUUAGCAAAACUGUAAGCAGUAAAAUCUCCACAACAUAAACCAUCUUCAAUGGCAUAAACUUGUCAACAUAUGUGUUCAAAAAUUUCAAUCAGUUUUGAUCAUAGAUUCCAUAAAAUUGAUUCUAUGAUCAAGCUCAACAAUGUUGAACAGGACAUGAUUAGAAAACCAAACCAAUUCGGCAACCCUUCCUACAGUGCACUACAGGCUCAAGACAACAAUAGCGCUUUUUGUUAGACCAGGCCAGCUGCAAUAGAAUCGAAUUCGAAUAUUGUACAUAAGAGAGAUGCUCUUAUCUUUUACCCCAGGAAAAAAAAAAAAUCAAGCUAACCUCAGUGUCAGUCCACAUCAAGAGUUCCGGAACCAUAUUUUGCUGAAAUAGCCACUAAUGCAUGAAAUGGGAACAAGAAGUUAGUGAACCUUGUGUCUGGUACACCAUGCUAGCCAUGCUUUAUCCCUAGCAACUUUCCAGCUAGUUCCCAGGUAACAAUUGCAGUUGCAUUAGCAGGAAAUGCCCUCAUUAUAGUAGGACCCAAACCCGUAUAGCAUCCUUUCAGACCAGCUCGCCUGUAAAUCUAUAAAAGUGACUAUAUUAGCCCCCACUUGUUAACAACAUAUGUUUUGGAAAAAUUACAGGCCAUAUUCCCUUCCCUCUCCACUCUACCCACCCCUUCCAUUUCUUUUGCAUUAUCUCACAUAUAGAGAUCAUGUGGAUAAUUCAUGGAGAAUUUAAUCUGAAAAGGUCAAAUAAGAGGAACCAGCAUAUUAUACCGAGUUUAAAAUCUGAAAAGGAUUUGUAGAGGCGUUUUUAUCUGGAGCAGUCUGGAUAAUGGUUUUUGCAACAUCCAAAGGUAGAACAGCUGACCAGAACUAGGAAACAGAGAAGGUAAAAAAGGAUUAAUGUGAAUGAGAAACACAAAAGAAAAAAAUAGAAAUGCAAGGCUGUCAAAAUGCUUACAGCUACACCACCAAGACCACCACUCACGAUCCCAAUUCCCAUGUCAAUCAAGUUACUGUGAUCGGAUGAAGCAGCUUUCAGUUUCAAAUGCAUGUAAUAACGAACAUGCUCAUGGACACUGAAAAAGACCGCAUUUCCUAUAGCUUCUCUUAAAAAAGUCGUAGAUCCUCCACGAAAAAUGGCCAUGACCUGAAUGCUAAUCCAUCAGCUCAAGAUGAUACAUAUGUUUUAAGAUGCAGUAAGUCAAGGAUUUACUCACCCCUUCCUGUUUGACAGUUCUUAGGGCGCAAUCAAGAGGACUGGUGUAUCUAACAGACUUUGGGACCAAAGAGUCAGUGCCCUGGACUUGCAUUCUACACUGUGAAGCUCAGUGUCACAAGCAUAAUAUAGGUAACAACUGCUUAUAGGGGAAAAUAGAGUGCAAAAGGUAACUUUCUAAUUCACUAACCUUCACUAGCUCUGAUGGACAUAACACAAAACUGAUAAUAGAUCCACCAAAAGCUGCUGAAGGAAUUAUUACAUUGGGUUGUGGUCCACCACAUUGUACCCCUCCCUUAAUUUUGGAAAAAAAUAAAAGUUCAUAAGUGUUUGAUAGGUAGACGACGCGUUUAAGGAAAAGUAUCAACGGUAUUAUUGAUGGAAAUGAUUUGUGGUUAUCAUUUAGUGCCGAGUAGAAACAGCAAACAGAUAGUUCAAUUCAAUGUCUUACAAACCUGCAGUAGCUGUUUUGUUUGGGAAUAGAUACCAAAGAGAAGUGAACUCUCAAAAGCCAUCCCAAGGAAUGAUGGCGUUGCUCCUCUGUAGAGUCCUCUAACCUGUCAAAGUCAACGGCUGGUCAUCCUCCAGGCAAGAUCAAAGCGAAGAACUACGAGAUAGGGCAGGACAGGCAGAGGAGAAGCAACAGAUAAUUAAAAAGCAAUGUCAAUUUUAUCAAGAUGACUAAUACACUUGUGCGUCUAAGUAGUUUAUUUGUUAUGCACAUGUACAAAAAUCAAAUACGAAGGCCAGCCUUAUAUCUCAAACCAAAGGACGAAGAAGAAUGCUCUAAAAAGGCCAUCAUCACCAAGCAAACAAUAUAAUUGGGAAGCCAAGAACAGAAAGGGCAAGUAUUCGACUAGCAGUCUAAAAAAUGAAAUUUCGGUUUGCCUCUAAUUUCUAAAGCCCAACAACUUCACUUUGUGCCGAGGAAGCGAACAACGUGAACUGUUACAUAAUAAUCUAUCAGAAAUGCACAAUUUUGAUUAAAAGAAAAAAAAAAAAAAGUUAACAAAAAAGCAUACCCCUUCAGUUCUGAGUAUCCUUGCAGUGCAAUGCAAACCAUUCUUGUACCUAAUCCCAUGCACUUCAGUAUUGUGUUUCUGCAGCUUCACCUAAUAAAUUAAACAAACAUAUGAUAUACCCAUAAUAAUAAUAAUAAUAAUAAAUAAAUAAAUAAACAAUUCAAUUGUUAAGACAACAAGCCAACCCUUUUAGUUUUUAGUGUUUUACCUUGACGGUGUCGAAAGGAUGACCGACAAUGACGGUAGCAACACCGGCGAUUAAGCCUGCCACAUACUCUUUGUAACCGGAACCCCAACUCUCUUCCAUCUCUCUACUUUCCCUGAAAUUUAAAACCCUCUGCUUUGUCGUGUCCACGUCUCUCUCACUCUUUCCCUCCCAAUUUUGGACGGUUCAAGUUCAACGACCUUCAUUACUAAACAAUACUCGUGAGAUCGCUGACCGUGUUUGUGCGUGCGAUAUAUUUAUUUAUUUAUGUACUUAUUUUAUUUUUUUUAACUGCAGUAGACAGCCGCUUUUCCAAAUUAAUAACAUUUUUAUUUUAUUUUACUCUUCUUUACUUUAUAUAGUAUAAAUUUUUCUUAGUAAUUUUAUAUUGUAAAAAUAUUGAAUUUGGAACGUAUAUGAAAGUUUGUUUGGAAUUAGUUCCCGAGAUGAUAGAAGUAAAUUAAAUUUAAUGAUAUGAGGAAAGUAAUAUAAAUUAUAUAACCUGCUUUUGAGAUGAUCAAUUAAUUGGACCCAAAUAAUCUUUAAUAUAUAUAUAGAAAAAAAGAAGGAUUUAUUAUUUAUGAAUUGACCAAAGAAGGGAGGUGCUGGCGAAUCAUUCGAUAUUCUUGGCCGUUCUGCGAAUUGCGAUCAUGUUCAUAAAUCACUCUUCUAUUGUAUAACCAGAUGCAGGAAUACGGAACAAAUCAGUAAUUUUCAGCACAUAUAUGAUACAAUGUUGAUGUUACAAUUAUCUUCUACCAGGAUACAACUGCAAAGACACAAUACCACCAGGAAAGCUCUCUACCACGAACUGCUUCCGUUAUUCUAGCAAACAGCAAUCUGUGAAAUGGGAUCAGGCAGGUGCAGCUCACCGUUUCAUCGGGUUACGGAACAAAAUUUUAUUUGGAGCAAGACCGCUGCCCGGUGGUCAUAACUUGCUGCGAAAGAUUUCUCCAGAAACCCUUUCUGCAUUUCCAACUUGAGUUGAAUGUUUUAGAACCUCUCGUCUUUCAGCUAUAAAUUUAGCGAACCGGGAACCCUUCCCUUCAAUGUUAUCUUCCAACGCCGCCUGCGGCAGAUCGGGUAAACUAGGACCUUGCUUUGGAGAUAAUGGUGGCAUCAACGCCCAUACUGAUGCAAGGUGUUUGUUUGGUUCAUCAAGUUUACGAAGAAGAGAAACCUCCUGCAUAUCUGUUCAAGUCAAAAGGAUACUUCAGAGUUUGCAAAAAUCUCUCUACCUUCAGCAAAAAUAAUAUAAACCUCGGGAUGGAGUUGAUGUUACUCAAAAGACAGUUCUUGGUGCCUACUAUAUUUCAGGAUGUAAUUACUUAAUGAAAUGAUAAUUUGAGCUAGAUCAUCUCAUCAUGAAUGUAAGUGUCAAAGCAAUUCUUUAGAUUCCUAACCUCUUGCAAACUCGAAGAUGGGUCUCAAAACAGCACAUGGAAUGCUGAAGUUCAGAUGUGGAAUAACUGUCCCACCACCAUGCCUUGCAUUACUGGAUCAAGAAUACGUAUCAUUAAAUACAGUUCAAUCUGUAAGCACCGAAAAGCUUAAUCAACCAUCGAAACUAAUAUUUUCAAAAUUUCUCCUCAACAAUCACAAUUUGUAAUGUUCGAAGAACAUCACACCCACCCAACAUAGUCUAUGAAAUUAUGAUCGAUAUCACAGUUCCUCUGUCACAUAAAUAGCCUCAUGCCAAAUUCGUGGCCAAGUAGAACAGAUUUCAGUUUGAGAGAUCUAAGAGCUUCAAACAACUUUGUUUCUUAUCUCUCCACUAAAACUUCACAUAUAAUCACUAACCACGAAUCACAUAAAACCAUAGAACAAUAAAAAGGAGGCUUCCAGGCAUUUCAAUUCAUGGGAAAAACAAAAGGAUUUCCUAAUACAAAUCCAAACCAGAUGAUAUUUGUGAAGGAAAAAAGGAAGAAAAGAAAAGGAGAGGAUUCUUUUCCAAAACAUUCUCAAGUCUGGGGAAGGGCAAUCAAAGAGAUAGUCCCAAGAAAAGUUCAACUUUUUGCUUGGUUGUUGGCCCUUGGUAAACCUAAUACUGGUGACAUUAUUCAAAGGCGGAAUCCUAAUGUGCGUUUGUCUCCAUCUUCAUGUAUCAUGUGCAAGAGAAAUGGCAAAAGUGCAGAUCAUUUGUUUUUGUAUUGUCAAACUGCUGUCCAGCUGUGGCAUAGAUUGUCUCAGGCAGCUAAAAUCUCUUGGGUGAUGCCAGCUUCUAGUAUUUCAAUGCUUUCAGAGUUUAUUCAUGCUUUUGGGAGAGGUGAAAAAGCUAUACUGCUGUGGCAAUGUCCAGUUAUGGCCACUUUCUGAGUGAUUUGGCUUGAAAGAAUAGAAGGAUUUUUGAAGAUUCAGAGGAAGAUGUCAUCUUUUUGUGGGAAAGAGUGCGAUUAUUAGCUUCUCUUUGGACCAGUUACUAAGGAAUUUCCAUUCAUCUAAACUAGGAAGGGGUGUUGGCUUAAUUCUAUGUUUUUGGUUUUUGUUUUCGUUGCCCAACUUUCAUUAGUCUUUUAGGUUCUUUAUUUGUGGACUUCUUGUUCAUGUUUUGUAAGUAUUGCUCUCACUAAUACUAGUUUCUUUGUUUCCUAUCAAAAAAAUAAAAAAUAAAAAAUAAAAAAGAUAGUUGAGCCAACAACUUGGCAACUUGCUCAUUUUCAGACAACUUAAUUUGAAGUACCUUGUAACAAGUCCAAUCAUAUGACCAUCCAGAUUGACAACAGCACCACCACUACCACCCGGAUGGACAGCAGCCGUUGUCUCAAGCAUAACUGGAUAUGCUGAAUUCCUUUGAAGAGUGGAUUGACCAUAAGAUGGCAAAUUUGCUUUUACUACUUUUGCUACCACCCCAGAGCUAACAGAGGGGGAAAGGCCUGCAGAAUUUGAAAGCACAAGAAUCUCAAUUACAGUAAAGUGCAAAGCACAGCCAAAACUGAUAAAUGACGAAGUUAUUUACCACAUCUUGGACCAAAUAGCCCAUGUCCAAUGACGUAGGCAGCUGAUCCUAAAGACGGCUGACCAAAAUCAGCAUCAAUAGGGCAAAGCUGAUCUGGAAUAUACCCAAGCUGCAGAAGGGAAACAUCCAAAGGUCCCUUACAAACAUACACUAUUUUAGCAUCACACCAAAUCCAAGGAUCCAGGUGGUCUAGACGGACACGUAUUUUUCUGUGGCCUCUGGAAAAUGAACUCAACUUAUAUGCCCUAUGUUCAUCUACAGAAGAAUCCACAAUCUUUGGCAUCUUUGGCGGCAAAGUCUGACUCUUUUGGUACUGAUCAACUCCAGUAUGCCCAGAAGAUGCAGAAUCUUCAGGUUGAAAGGAAACUCCAUUUCUCCAACCACUUACAGUUGUUUUACCAAAUCUCCAAGGUUCUAACAGGUGAGCAUUUGUGAGUAUCAGGCCUCGAUCAUUGAGCAGAACACCAGAUGCCCAUACACCAUCGUCGAUUGUAAUAAGACAUACAGAAGCCAAUGCCUUCUGAAUUGGUAGUGGAGACCGGCAACGAGAAUCAACAUGCUCAUACUUAUAACAGCAGGCCCCAUUUAAGAUAUGGCUGUUAAAUAAUAAUGAGUUCCCUACAGCAUUCAAGUUUCCCUUGUUAAUAUGGAUCUCUUUUUCUGCAUUUUGGGGCUCCUUCAGCAGUAAGUCACUGCAAGCAGUUGCAAUGGCUUCCCACGGAAUCACCAGCUGUUACCCAAGGCUAUAGUUGUGUAUAAUGCAAAAACUAUGAGAUAGUUACAACAAUAAAUGAGAAACGGAUCUUUGCAAAUUACCUGAAUUUCAGCACCGCUCUUUUGCCUCAAUGGUCGGAUCAAGAUACCAACAAAAUGCGCGUGUUCACCAAAAACUGGACCACCUUCCAUUCCUAAAAAAAUAACCAGAACAUAAAAUCAAAAUUUACUGACAUCAAAAGAACCACAGAAAACAUAAUAGAGAAAUGUCUCACCAGGAAGACACCGAAUAUCAGCCAUCAGCAAUGAUCUGGUAGUUGACCUAGGAGGAUAGCAGUUGGCAACAGACCCCAUAGAGACACUGGUACAAGCCAGCACAUCAAUUUAAAUAUGCUAAUGACUCGUAUAAUUGGAAACGUAACUAAACAAUUAAGAUUUUCUCUUAAUCGAACAAACACGAAAACACAAGUGAAAUCUUUCUUUUACAGACUUUGCGAACCAUGGACUUCGUGAUAUUUUGAUGAUUUUGUCCUCUGCUUAAGCAAAAGUAAUUUAUUCAACUAAGGUAGGGGAUAAGAGGAUACACAAGGAAGAUAGAGAAAUGGGGAAAACCUUCAGUAAAUUUAAAUGUAUAAUCAAAUCCAAUAUUUCACAAAAAGUGUUUCACAAGGUGAACUAUGUCCUGAAACAAACAAGAAAUUCAAACAUAAAAGAAACUCACAGCAAAGAAACCCAACCUGUUAAAGAAGUGCAUGGGCGAGAGGACACCAAAAGGAGAACCCACGGCUAGAAGGAGAUCUCCCCUUUUAUUCAAGGGUGUUAGGGCAAUGUUUGGCAAAUCCUAAGACAUAAUAACACGGAAUGUUAACAUCUGGCUCAAGUUUGCAAACUAAAUUAUAUCAGCACAACAAUAUUACAGGAUUUCAUCUGUUAUUAUGAGUUAUCACCAAAAAGUACACUGCUUAGAAAAGCAAGAAUUGACAACUGAAAAGAAACUUCACUUUUAAAUAUGAGGAAACUCCAAGGAUAGCAACUCUUGAAGUCGACUUGCUCAUAAGACUUAGAUUGCUUGAUUCCUCCAUUGCAAAUGGCCUAUGGCUGUCCAUCAAAGAUAUUUUGUUGCUCUCAAUCUGAGGAGAUUAAUUUAAAAUCAGUGUCACGUAAUAUACAACAUAUAUUAACAUCAGAACAAGCUCCAUUGUUUUUUGGCAGCAUUACCCAAAAAAAGAAAAAAAUACUGCUUCAGAUAUGAUCUUCAAACAAUUUGUUCUUUAUUGACAAUAGGUAAGUAUAUCUUAAACUCUUUGAGUUAAUUUCACAAGGUACAAUUUCAAUUUUUUUUUUCCCAAAUCAAAUCAUUUUCCCAUGGCCACCAAGGAAGGAAAAUGAGUGAUAACUUGAAAAAGGAGAAAAAGAAGGGAAAAACUUUAACUGCUUGAUGAUUCAACACCCUAUGGAUAUUGGACCGACCCCUUGCUUGUCAAACUCCUUUGUGUAAUAGUUGUUCAUAUAACUAAAUCCUCUCAAAUUAAGCUGGGUCUCUGCAGCGCGAUUAUUUGCAGAUCACCACGCAUAAACUCUCAAACAUUUAAUUUUGGAUAUAAGCAACAAAAAACAAAAAGGGAAGAAAUUCGGACAUAAGCACCUCUUAACUUCUUAUUAAACCAAUUACCAAUCAAUGUUUAAAAUUCAAAAAAGAAAAAUAGAAGAGCGUGGUUACACCCAGAAUACCCAAAAUAAUAUAAGAAGAGCAUUUGAUGAGUGAAAUAAAAAAAAACCUUAAGUAAUACUAACCGAAGUCUUAACAACACCCAUUAAAGGCUGGGAACUGUUAUUAUAUGGGGCCAGGGACCACCCGACCUCCCAUUCAUGCUCCGGUAAGCCUGAUGAAGCUUCCAUAAGUGAUUGGAGAGCAAGUGAAGAUACAGGGAUGUCAACCUUCAGGAAUUAACAUAUCGUCAAGAGCAGUUCUUUAAGAAAUAGUAAUAAACUCUCAAGACAACUCAACUUACUAUGUCCAGUACCAUUGGUGGAAAGCAUUAUAUGCAACUUGGAUACAGUUGAAAUUUCCAACUUCAAUGCAGUUGAAAUUGAAGUAUUGUAAUAUGAGCAACUUAUUGUAACAUGUGUUACCAAAAUUAACACGAUAAUCAAUCAAACAUGCUAACAUGCUAAUACUAGCUUAUAAGGCUCUUUAGCAUCCAUUUAACAAACAUUAAGUACCCACCAACAUCAUAAGUUGUGCUGUAACCCAUUCAGGGGAUCCUUUAUCCACAUCCUCAUGUUCUUUCUCUGACCUCAACUUGCCCUAUAAAUUAAAACACACGAACACAUUCCGUCAAAAUCCUACAAAAAUUCACUUCCAGAAAACUACCAUUUCAACCAAAUAAACAACUCCAUGUCAUCUUAUACCUCUACCAAGAAAUCAAUCUGAGAACCAGAAAUCAACUCAGGCUGGCCCUGCAGAAAAUAACAAAAACCAAAAAUGUUCCAAUUACUCUAAAGACCAAACCUCAGAUCAAAGUGAAAAACAACCACAAAGCUGUAGCUUCUACCUCGCUAGUAUCCUUGUCUCGGUAUUGAGGUAACAAAAAGGGCUCAACAACAGAAGCAACAGUCACAAUUAAACCAUUAACGCCCCAAUUACGCUCAGCAACCUUAGUAUCAAAAAAGCUAAGAGGCAGUAACAUCCCAGAAGCUGAAAGCGUCGUCUUGCCAGAACUAAACUUACCCAGAAACAGAAAAUUCGAUAAAUAAAUAAAAUAAAUUGGAAUAAUGAAAUAAAAUGCAACUCUGUUCGUGCUAAUGAAACCGAAGAAACAAGCUGACUGACUUGUAUUGAUGGAAAGCGUGUCUUCUCAUCUUAAGCCCUUUCGGGUCCUAAAAAUUUAAGAAAAUGUAAAUAAAUAAAUUUUGAAAAAAAGACAACUACAAUUCAGGCACCACAGAAGAUGAAACGACAGAAACAUGUGAACUAACUAAUAAGAGCGACUUACAGGGCCUUGAACUCUGACCAAGACGCCGAAAUUCCGCGAAAAUUCGGCCAUUUCUGGCAAGCCCAUAUGGAACUAUUUGUUCGAUCGCCUUAUGAAGUUGGAUUGAAAUGAAAUUUAUUGCUACAGAGUAAGAACAAGCUAGCUUUCAAAACGAAAAUGUUUUCAAGGCUUGCGAGCUGCGAGGCGGCCCGAUGAAAACGACGUCGUUGCAUAUCGUUUAAUUCGGUUUAGUCGCGGUACUUUUUUUUUUAUUUUUGAAUAAUGAUCCUAUAAUGAUUUGGGCUUAUUUUGCCAACAUCCCAAUGUUUUGAUCUCAAAUUAAGUGAGUUUAUUAAAAAACUUAAUUAAAUCUUAAACAUACUUUUUAAUAAUUAGAUUACGUAUUGUCUGGAAAUUAUUUUGAGUUUAUUAAAAAACUUAAUUACAUCAUAAAUUAGGAUUUAAAGAUGGGAGGAUUCAUAAUUUGCGGAUGAAAAGACAUUUUAAUUUAGGUAACUACUUAUAUAAGUGUUUGACUGAAUUUCUAUUAAAAACAAUAAAUGAAAUAACCUGUUUUUUUUUUUAACUAAUUGGGUAAUUUCAAUUAAAAAAAUAAUUUUAUAGAAAAUUUAUAGAGAUGUCAAAAUUAAAGACCUACUCUUCUUAAUAUUGUAUUUCAUUUGUUUUGUCAGUAGUAAUCAUUAUUUAAGAGUAAUGUUUUUCAUAACCAUUUAAUAUCCUUAUAAAACGCUAGUUUCAUAUUAAAUAAAUAGUUCAAUUGCGGGAGAAUAUUACAUAAAAGAAAAGAUAUAAAUCUAAUUAAAUUAAAAGAACAGAUAUAAACCUUAUGAGUAUAUUUAAAUUCUAACCCAUGAUAUAUUUUUUUAUUUUUUUAUAAACUCAAUCCUAAUUUCAACAUCCAACAAUGACAAUUUCCCCAUUAAUUCUCCACAUAUGAGGUAACUGGCAAUGCAGAUUAAUCUUGUUAUUAUUAGCAUUCUAUGAUUUCAUUCUCCUCCUCACAAACUUGAGCACAGGCUAAUAGAAAUUUCACGAGAAAUUAACCAGCAAUGAAAAGUAGCUCAUGUAAUUACUCCAUAAAAUCUCAUCAAUAAAUUCCGAAACAAAAUCAAGAAACUUGAUACAUUGCUACAAGAAGCAAGAAAUUCAAAAGUAAAUAAAGCAAAAAUCUAUUCAAUCGUUCGAAGUUCCGUUACUCAAUGCAAUCUUAGAAUAAGAAAAUAGUUAUUGUUACGUACCACUAUUUAUAUGCACGUAAAAAUUAAAUAUAAAGAUUAAUAUUAUGUAUAUUGAGAGAGAUCUGACCUCAUUCUGAUUUAACUUUUCAAAAUGUUUUCGAUGUAUCGGUAUGAGAUGUUUUGCAAAUAAAAAUUACAAGAGAACGAACAAGUCAUGAAUUCGUAACCACGAAGUUCCGUAACGAUGGAGGGGAUCAUAAACAUAAUAUUAACUAAUUUAUAAUAUUGAGCAAAGAAUUUGACUGAGAGUUAAAUUGAAUAUAAAAUUACUGCUAAACUAACGAAUAAAUUCAAAGAGUCGCGUUAAGUGGGGUAACAUUAUCUAACUGAUAAGGAUUUUUAACACAUUUCACAUAUGUGCAAGUAGCUGGAUAAGUUCUAAUCACAUAUGUAUCACUCUUAUUAAGUAAAGCGUACAAUUUGAAUUCUAUGUCCAAUGCCUAAUUUGGAUCUCCAUAAUGAUCCCUCCGUUAUAUGUAGUUUUUCUUAGUUCUUAACGAUUUGUUAGAUUUUUUAUUACAAUAUUGUUGGAUUCUUAAUUUAACGUUGAGUUUAUAUGUGAAUAAUUAUGCGUUGUUAACUGUUAUAUAAGGUUAAGCCCAAUUAAAAGUGAUCUACUAAGAUUUUCGGUAAGAUGACCUUUAAUGUAUUUAAUAGGGUGUGAACCUUUAAUGUGUAGAUAUUUAAGGAUAAUUUCUAUUUUUGUGAUGAGCUGAAAUAGAAAUACAUAAAGACAAUAAGAAAAAUUGUCUAUAUAAGUGAUCAUGGUCCUUAUGACACACGUAUUUUUCUAUUUUUUUUGACAUCUCAUAAUGAGAGAGAGAGAGAGAGAGCACAUAGAAAAUUAAAAGAUUUUUUAGGAAAAUGUGUUUAUAUGAAAGGCAAAUCACAACUCUAAAAAGUAAUUCAGCGUUAUGAAUUCAGGUACGCUUCCACGUAAUUUGUUAUUGAUUCUUAAUAAUACGACAUGAAUGUUCUUAAAUUAUAGGUGAUGGUUUUUAACCAAAUAAUUUAUUGUUCUAACAUAAUCGACUCAGAAAUUAAUCCUUUUACGGUAUGAGAAUGAUAAAUUUUUAUGCACCCCUUCAUAGAAAUUGACCUUCACAUUUUAUCUCUAUUUUUCCCCACUAUCUAAUGUUCCCUGGAUUGUCGUUAUUAGUUUAACCCCCCGCAUUCUAUUUACUUUAGGACACAGCUGAAUUUAUGCCAUUGCCUUUUGCUGCCUCGCACAAACCACUGGUUUAUCAAAACUAGUAAACUACUGAUGAUUUAGUAGAUAUCCUUACUCACAUUCACAGGAAUAGGCAAAGACGAUAACUGGCAACCGAGUUAAUUUCCCAUUUAAAACAAUAGCCGCUGAAUUUUAAUACUUAAAAUCUAACGACUGCUUUGUAUAUGGAUAAAAAUUUGGGUAUCAGUAGCCAGACCCAUAAAAUAUACUAUUUAGAUAGAUUUUAUUCAUUACACUUUUUUAUUGUGGAUCACCUUAUAAGUUCCCAGCAAAUUGCAUACAUUGAAAAAAAAAUUCUAACUUUCAUGUGGAUGCCAAUUAAUUUGGUUGGUAAAAUGUGCUAGUAGAUAGAAGACGACUAAAAUUAAUUAAAUGAGAAAAUCAUUCAAGACAUGCAAAACAGUUAAAGUUAAUUUGGUUUAACUAACUACAAAAGGGAACAAUAAUUUUUUCCCAAAAAAAAAAAACACUAAUUGUUUUAAUUGAAUAUUCGUUAGGAUCCGGCUAGGAACCAUUAAGUUAUUGCUCUUAUUGGGUCAAGGUCAAAUCUGAUUUAAACAAACAAAAUUUAUAUUUAGGAAAAAAAUUAGGUGAUUUUUAGGUUUAGAUGUAUUUUUUUGCUAUUCGGGGCAAGAGGUAUAGCUAUAGUGGUCUAGGAAACGAGCUUAGGUGAUUUAGGGAGAUGAGCUUAUGUGUUUUGAGUCUAGAAUAAUAUAAAGAGCUUCAUGGAUUUAAUUUAAAGAGUUGUCAUAAGGAGCUUAAGAUAGCUCAACAAAUGGAAAAUAGCUCUAUAGAGCUUAUUUGGGGACCUCAGUGGAACUCAUAGAAUAACUUAGCUGAGCUUAUAUAUGAAAUGCGAUAUAAGCAUCAAAAUCAGAAAUAAGUAUAAAUAAUAAAGAACAUAUAAGAUUUAUGUAAUUUGACCUUUUGGCCUACGUUUAUAGGAGUAAUAAUCUCCAAUCCACCAUAUAUGUGAAGUAUUACAUAAUUUACUUCAUAAUAUCAACAAAACCUUAUUCUAGGUUGUUUAUGAUGAGUAAUAACAUGAAAAAGAUAUGGGUUUGUGAAAAUUAGAGAGUUUUCUAAAAAAAAGAAUAAAGAAGAAGCUUUUUUUUAGAAAUGAGAUAGCCAAAAUUUUCUAUGUAGGUAAAAGGAGAUGAAGUAACCUCUUAAGAGAUCAGAUCCAAAAAAAAAGGUUUCAAAGAGUUGAAUAAAGCAAAAAAAGAGAGAUAGCUUCUUCAAAAUUAAAUAUAUGAAGCUUAUAUACGUGUUCUUAAGGGUAUUUUGUUAAUUAUAGACACUAGCAAAUUUUCAUUUUUUUUAUCUUCACAAGUAAGUUUAUUUUAAUAUUUUCACCUUUUGUCCUUAUCAUGACAUCUAUGAACUUUGAAGGUAAGAAAAUCUUUAACUUACUUUUAGCCUCCAUAACUGAGCAUGUGACAGUCUCGUAGUGUUAUGGUCUUGUUACUUUUUAAGAGAUAGUAAAAGACAGCUGACGCGAGCUUCUCUUAUUGUUUUGUUUAAAGAAUUUUUAUUCCUAUUGGCUCUUUAUUCAUGGCAAAAAGAAGAUAUUUUGUUUUUUUUUUUCUAAUGACUCGAACUACUAAAACAUAGGUUUUAAUUAUAUCCCAUGAUAUUAGGCAUAUUUAUCAAAAUUGUCUUUUUUAUUUUAAUAGAAUUUAUCUUCUAACCUUUGAGAACUAUAUUUCAUUCGAUCAAAUGAACUGACUUCACCUAGUUGGUUUUCUUAGCCACGUGUGAUCAGGUUAUUAGUCCAUAUUCAACAACCAUUAACGUAAACUUGAAAGACAAAUACAAAAACUUAGCCAUCGAAUUGGCAUGAGCGUAUACAGUAAUUAUACCUUAAAAGAAAAUUAAAAAGAAAAACAAAUAGUAAAGCAAGAUAUUAAAGAAAAACAAAUAGUAAAGCACGGGGCUACACAUCCGCCUCUCUCUUCUCUCUCAAUUUCUAACACUGAAAAAAAAAAAAGAAAAAAAAAAAAGAAAGAAAUAAAGGUCAAGCAAGAGCAAGAUAUUCACCACCUUCAUUGAUCUCUCUUGCCAACCCAAAGAUCGCUUAUUAUUUUCUCUGUGUCGUUGAAUAAGAAACAAGAAAGUGGAAGCAAUGCCAGCACAGAAGCGCUCUUAUGAGAACGCCACCACUAAUAAUAAUAAUAAUAAUCACAUUAUUAUUACCCCGUCAGAGGUCGUUGAGGCUGUUCUCGAUGAUGAUGGUGAUGAUACUCUGCAACGCGACCACAGUAACAACCUUGAAGAGCAGCAGCCUCCUCAGGAUUCUACUCCUGCUGCUGCUGCUGACGUGGACGGUAACGGUACGCACUGCUUGAUUAUUUAUUUGUGAACUGCGUGUGCAUUUCGUUUUGGGUUUUGAUUGCUUGUUUUUUGUUUUUUUUUUUUCAUUUUUUGCAGAAUCUGAUCGAAGCCGUUCGUCCGGUGACGGAGAGAAAGACGAGUAUGUUUGUUAUAGUGUGUUGUUUGGUUAAUUAUUUUCCUCAUAUUGCAGGUGUUUGACUCUGCGAUUUGCAUGCCUUGUUUUGUCUUGUGUUUCGUGUUACUAUCUGUUUCUUGCUUUUACAGCCACGUUCAAGAAAUGGUCUUGUCAGUUCGGCAUUUCUUUCGUUGCAAAAUGUGUCCGUGUGCCCUCCCGUUCACAGAGUUUAGUCUUUAGCUUGUGCCUGUGCUUUCGUUUAGAGUUAAUUAUGGUUACAGUUGUUACUUAAAAUGGGAAUUAUGUGGUUAAAUUUGCAUGGGUUGAUCACUGGGUUGCCUAUGAUGUCCGGGAUUCGGGGGUUUUCCUUUUGUUUUUGAAGUUCUUGUGGAUCAAUUUAAGCACAGUUAUGGAUGGAGGAGGUGGUUUACAGAGUAGCUCAAUCAGGGUCACAUAAUUAUUAUAUCAUGAUAUCUGUCCAAUGACAGGCCAGUUGAUCUGCUUGCAUGUUUUAAGAUGUAAUUUUCCCAGUGUUUUAUUGUUUUCCCAGAGUUGUUCAACGCAACUAAGAUGCAAUAUCGUAUUAGCAUUUUCCCUCUCUGCAUGUGAGGUGUUGGCUGGAAACUGGAUUUGAAAGUCAAUUGAUAUUCUCAUGCAGUAAUUGAGAUGGUUUUGUAGAGUUAGUUGCCAUCGACAUUCCAGUGCCUCUUGCAUUCACACUCCACUUACAUUUUAGUAAACAUAGGGUGAAUAACAAGCAUAAGUCUAAAAUUAUUCCUUGCCCAUCAUUUCCUUCUGUGGAGAAAUAUCUGCUAAAUGUUAAACGGUGGUGCUAGUCAGGCGAAUGUGGAUAGACGAUCAGUUUAUUGGAAUAUCUUCAUUAAUUAAUUUCCUUGAAAUUGAUGCAUAUUUUAUGUUAUAUUAUAGUUUUUUGUCUGGAUGCUUGCAAUAGAAUAGAUGAUUUGAAAAAUUCUGACUUCAGAUAUCUCUUGGUAUUUUAACACACGUGGUCAUAGUUGUAUUAUACCGUCAUUUUGGGCUGCAAUGUGCUUUUCUUUCCCUUGCAUAUGCGUGUGACAGACCAGUGCUUGUUAGAAUAGGUCCAAUUACACCUUUUGCUAAAGUAAGGGGUUUGCUGGAAGCUCCAAAUAUUGAAUAUCAAAUGACUACUGUAGUUCGAUCAUCAGGAUAAUGGGCUUGUCAAGUUCCUUGUUUAAACACCACAAUUAACUAUUAUUUCCAUGUUGUUAUCCAUAAGAAUGUUCAAUAAAUUGCUUCAUGAUGUAUGUUUCCAGAUAGAACUCUUGUGUAUUUGACAGACUUUGUCGAACACCUUUCUUAUGUUUGCUUUGGGAGGUUUAUACCUUUAAGAGCAUAGUACUCUCACAUUAGAUAAGGUUAUGCACAAAAUAGAAUUAGCAGCAGCCAGGUUUCAUUGUCUAAAAAUUUCAAUGUAACAAAACCAUAUUCUUGCUAUGUCCUAGAGUCUCAUAUUAACGAUUGGUGUUGUGACAUAACAUUUUUGUAUUGGUAAAUGUUUGCAGGUUUGUUAUAGUAAAAUUGUCUGAUAUACGCAAGGAAGUACAGUGUCCAAUCUGUUUGGGUAAGAUUUUGGAAUACUUUGUUACACAUGUUUACUUCUACAUUCCAAUAGAUUAUAUCUGACUAUUUGAGCAAGCAUCAUAGUCUGCAUAUAUUAUAUGAGAACAUUGACAAAUACUGUCCUAUGCAUCAUUUUGGGUAAGCAAGCUUUUCGUACAGUGUUAUACAUUACCAAGGAAUGUUGUUCAAUAGUUCCAGAAUGCAACAUAAUUAAUCGAUAAACCUACAAAUUUCUAUCUUAGUGUUGAGUUGAAUUUUCUGUAAUGUUGUGUUGCGAUGUUUUCGUCCUUUUUGUUGCAUACAAGUUGACAGAAACAUCUUUCUACAGUGGCACAGCCCUUAAGCUGAGGCAUAUAAUGUGAAUCUGCUGAAUUUGCUGGCUUAUAUGAAACCUAUAUAUUUAUAUGUUUCAACCAUUUGAGCAAUUUAUAAGGUGUAAGCAUCAACUGCCAGAUAUGUGUUUUGGGAAGCAUUGCCAUUUUAUUGAGAAACCCUUAAAUAUAAACUUCAACUUCAACUUGCUGGCUGUAUAGCUCUAUGUUCACAGCUUGUUACAGGAGAGAUGUUAUUUUCCAGCAAGUGAAGGAAAAAACUCAUAUAUCUUCCAUUUUGAUUAAUUUUUUUCCCCUCAAAAGAAUAAAAUUGGAAUUAAUCUUACUUCAAUAGUUUGUUGGUUAUUUUGAAGCACGAGGUUGGCGAGAUGCUCUAAUGCAACUCCAAGAUUUUAACUUAUAUGGGUGCUGAUUACUGUUAUAAAUUACAUGACAUCUUCUGCUUUUUGUUGAUGCUUGACUUUUGCAGAAUUAUUAUUGGUUUUCCAUUUUGUUUCUACAGGGAUCAUUCGCAAAACAAGAACAGUGAUGGAAUGCCUGCAUCGCUUCUGCAGGGAAUGCAUCGACAAAGCUAUGAGGCUGGGGUAUGUUUAAAGUAUCUCUUUUCUUUUUAUUUACUUGUAGCAUCAUUGGAUUCAAAUUUCCUAGUUUGAUAUUGGAAUGGAUGAUCUGACUAAAUUCACUUCAAAAAAAUCUGACAUGUAAGUUAAGAAUGUCUUUCUUGAAAAUUUAAAUGACAAUUCACUGCAGGAACAAUGAGUGUCCCGCCUGCCGCACACAUUGUGCUAGUCGCCGCUCUUUGAGAGAUGAUCUAAACUAUGAUGCCCUGAUUGCAGCUUUAUAUCCAGAUAUUGACAAAUAUGAGGAAGAGGUAUCAUUUAGCUUAUUUAGUGCUUCUCAAUUUAGAAUCUGAUCUCUUUUUUAAUUGAAAUUCAAGCAUUCAUGUUUUCACCUGAUUUAGGAAUUGGCUUUCCAAGAUGAGGAGGCAGCUCGCAACAAGCAGGUGAUACACUACAAGUUUGCUUAUGAGUUUCCCUACAAAUCUCCAAUCCUGUUUUUCCUUUCCCUUUUAGCUCAGUGAAGAAUGGAUUUUAUCUGUUUGUUGAAUUUGUAAGCUCACCUUUUAACUUUCUUAGCUCCUAUCUCGUGUGCUAUGUUAUACAAUAGAGUAGCUGUGCUUUCUCUAAAGAAAGCAAAACAGGCUAAAUGGUGAAAUAAUCUGUUUGUUUCUGUGAGUUGUUGGCACCACCAUUAACUUUUAAACUUUCAUAACAGUAAAACCUUGAGUUUGAAUAAUGCAUGCCUUCAUUUUUGUAUGCAUACCCUUAGCCUAUCUAAGUCUAUUACUUUUGCAUAUGGCUUUGGAUGAAAAAUAUAAUGUCUUGUAAGUGAUCAAAAUUGUCCAUUUUGGAUUAUUCAAACAGAUCCAAGCUUCCAUUGCGCAAACUUUCCAGCGACAAACAGAAGCUCUGGGCAGAAAACGGACACCUAAAAGCACAUCAGCAUUGCGAAGAUCACAUGGUCGCUAUCGGGAUACUCCUUUGAGGGGGAGAAGAAACUAUCGAAUGACUGAACUUCAGGGGUCUGAUGAGAAUGAUGAUGCAAAUGGGGAUGCUGGCAAAGAUUCAUCUUCUGCUGAUGAAAGGUCGACGGAAGUCCGACCAAAAAGACGAAAAAGAUGGUAUGGAGCUCGGUUUUCUCAGUCUUCUUCAGCAGCUGCUGGUACUGAUGGAGGUGGUGAUGAAAAUGACUCUGAGGUACAUAGAGAAUCCAUGGGUGCAUCUGUUGGGCUGAUUGGUCCUUCGGAACGGCUUGCCUGGGGCAAAGGUGGUAUUCGAUCUCAUACACGACACGGCAGUGUGAGUGGUAGCAAUGGUAAGAAUGCCCGAAAUAACCGCCUCUCUAAGUUGGUUGAUUAUCUCCAAAGUUUGGAGGAAAAGGAUGACCAGGUAAGGUUGCUUUUUUUUUUUGGUUUAUGAUACUGUUGCUACUCUUGUGAUAAAAAAUCAUGAUUUUCAUAUGUGGCUUCCAAAAUUAUCUGAACUGAAUCCAAAACUUCUUUUUUCUUUUUUUUUUUCUCAAUGCAAAUAUAGUUCACAGCUUCUUUAUGAGCACCAAAUUCAUGAGAUCAUCAUUCGUCAUUGUUUCUUAGAAUCUUAGUUCUUUGGCUUCCUUCACUCUUCACCAACGUGAUUGGGUCAAUGAUCACUCCUCUUUAUUUCAGUUGGAUAUGCACCUCGUGCUUGUUUCUUUGGAUGAACAAAGAAUCCCAGGUUUGCAGCAGCCAUACCUGUGCUGCAGGCCUACACUGUCUGUUAGGCACUUAUGCCAGGUGACUCUUGUUUCAUCCCAAGUCCUUUUUAUUGUUAGAUAACGUCUAGUUACAAUUAGAUUUAUUCGGUUUUCAUCGCUGAAAUUGGUUUUUCUUUGCCUGGUUUCUGCAGUAUGUUGCUCACCAGACUGCACUGCAAGCCAGUGAAAUUGAAAUAUACUUGGUUAAAGAGUUGCAUUCCAAAAUCAACCUCCCAUCCUCUUCUAACUCUCUGAUGAUAGAUCCUUGCAAAGAUAAGCUGCAAGUUUUAAAUGAACAAGAAACUUUGACAGGACUUCAAACUCAAAAUUUGGGACAUGGCUUCCUGGUGAGAUAUAUUUUCCUAAUACCAACAUCAAUAGGUAGAUUCAUGCACACACUUCAAUUAACAACAAAGCAUGGCAAGCAACAUAGUUUUUUAAUUCAUUCUUGCUCAUUGAUUCAUACUUUGAAUAUCUGACUAAUUUUUUUAAUCAUGUUAUUCAUAUUUGCAGCUUUUGGCAUAUCAGAAAAUUUUGUUGAACUGAGAUGAAUGAUGAAAUAUUACUGCUUGCUUAAACAAGUUGUUUCGUCAUAUAUUUAUAGAGUGAUAGUGUAUACAAUCAUACUCAAAUAGGGAUCACAGGUAGGUUUCAAUUCUUAGAGCUUCCAUGCUCUACGACACAUUGUUCGGUAUAGUUCUAGGAUGGAGAAUCAGCAGUUUAGAAUUAGGAAAAUAGUGGCCAUUCCAGUGACUUCUUGUAGCUGGAUGUGAACAGACCAAUUGUUUCUAACAAUGUGAUUAUAAUUGUUGCACCAUACAAUAUGCACUUUAAAUUCAUCAGUGGUUUUCCUGAUGGCACAAAGUAAAGCUCUGUUCUUAUUUCUUAAUUCUGAUCAAUUGAAAGCAGUCUUUCCUCUACUUGUUGGUAUUGGAUAAGGAUUUGGAUCCAUGGUAGCUGAGUUCUUGCUGACAUUCUGGAAAUUUAGUGUCACCUGGCUUCUAUAAUAUUUAACACUUUGAGAUUUGUUCUCUUUUUCCUAAUGCAUUUGUUUAAAAGACCUUUUAUUAAGUAAUUUUUUUAAUUCAUUUAAUUUCAAAAAACUUGGCUAUAAAAUCUCGAUCUCCUCCAACUGUGUGCUCUUUUUAUUCUCUCUUUCUUUCUCUCUCUUUUUUUUUUUUUUUUUUUUCAUCAAACUUCUUCACCACCUGUUCGACUAUAAAAAGGCGCGGCGGAUUCUACGCAUAACUGUUUUCAUAGUCUUUGUUGGACACCUAUAGCACUGGGAGAAAGGGAUCGGACUGUUUGCUUUUGCCCUUAUUGUUCCGAAAUUUUGAACUUUUUUGUCACUGCUGACUCUCUUAUGUGAUUGUUUACGUAAAAACUUUAAACAGUCAAUUAAAAGAAUAUUUCAAGAAUCAAGGUAUACAUUGAUGCAAUAAUUUGAUUGGACCAGGUCAAGACAUACAGGAUAGCUUGGAAUGACCCCCCAUUCAUUAUCGCCUUUAAUAUGGUACCAACAAUCGCCCUCUAUUAUUUUUACAUUACGCGGCCACUUUAGAACAUGGCUGGUGACAAUUAUUAUCUCUUUUAUCAUUCCUAAGGUGUUUGUCUUCUAAUCAUACCCAUACCUAGCUAGGCUAGCUGCUCAAUGGUCCAGCGUGUUCGCAUCAAUCCAUUAAUCCUAUCCAUAACGACGUCAUAUUUAGUGAGCUGCUUCUCUCUUUCGUCAAUAUUCAACACACAAACAUCGAUCGAAGACGGCAAAGUUUACCAACUCCAUUUAUAUAUAUAUAUAUAUAUAUAAAUUAUUGCAUAAUUUAAGCCACACACAGCAAUAAUAAUAAGUCCCAUCAAUGCAUUACUGUUAUUAUUUGUGUGGUGUAAUUAAGUUAAACGUAACUUAACAUUCAUAUUUUAUAUAUAUAUAUAUAUAUAUAUAUAUAUAUAUAUAUAUAUAUAUAUAUAUAUGACUGACACUAUAUUACGUACACGUAACUUACAUCUCUGUUACAUAUAUAUAUAUAUAUAUUCAAUUAUCUAGUCUAACGGAGAACAUAAUUCGAACUUCAUCGCAAACAAAAAAAAAAUUCAUCAUAACCAUAGCACAGCAACUCCAUUUAAUCGACAAGCGUUAAACAUUCAGAGAAGCAACUUAUUUAUUAAUAAUAAAACAUAUAUGCUCAUCACGACCGUCCACGAAGGGAUGAUCUUGGCUCUUACAAAAUGACAAUCAAAAACAUGUCCUAAACCCAAAAACCAGCAACCUUUCAUCUCCGCCCACAGCUUAGCAAUCCUCACAUCACAUACAAUUAUAUGAUAUAAAAACAUCACAGAGUCUUUAGUUUACUUUUAGUCAGCAGCAUUUUAAAACCAAACUUUAGAUAGGAAGGACACGUAAUACAAAUAGCAUUAACAAAACGACAAGGACACGUUGCGAAAUCCAAAACGAAACGACACUAUCUACAGACUACAGGCAACUCAUCCGGUGAGUUGGUGACCCAUCAC